UUUUCAAACUUCAGCCUUCCCGGGGAGCGGCGUCCCGGCGCCAGCGCCCUCUCGCGGGUACGGGCCCGGGCGAGCCGCCGGCGGGCGGCCCUGAGGGAGCGGGACCCUCCCUUCCCCACAGGCCGCCAGGGCUCGGCACCGUUCGGCCCUGCCCCGCGGGGCCCUCGCCCAGUCGCGGCUCCCGCCCCGGUCAGGAGGUCGUCGCGCUGCCUUCGCCCGCCCUGAGGGGAAAUGCGCAGCCGAGAGCUGGCAGCGGAGUCCCGCGGCGAGCCCGGGAUGGCGGCGGGAAGGAGAGAGGCGCGACAGGCCGGACGCUGAGGAGACCGAGGGAGAAGUCUUCAAGAAACUUUUGGAACACAACUCCCAGAGAAAGACACACUGCAUUUCUCUUGAACACAUGGACACAGUAGAACUGCCACUUUCUUUGAUGAACUUAAAAGAUUUCCUAAUGGCUAAAUGCUACUCUGAGUAGCUGUUAAUUGUCCCUACACACAAUUGAAGAAACAUUCAGUCUCCACAACUCUAAGCUCUCUCUUUAACUUGAGGAUAAAGGACAGUCUAGAUUCUUUAUCCUAAGUUUUACUGGUUUAAAGCCUUCAGGCCAUUCUUUGUAGUAAGUGAAAAAACCCCACACAAACCACUAAGACCUCCAGUCACAAGAACACAAGUCCUGUAUCUGCCACCUGACUCCAGAAGUUUACAACUUUGCAACAAUCUUUUUUUUUGCCAAGUCUAAAACCAAAAUUACUGUCUGCGAUCUAAACCAUUUCUUUCUGUGAUCACAUGGUGACUCCAAAUUUCUAGUAUUUGUUUCCUUGAUAAACAUCACAUCGUUUAUAGGUUUAAUGGAGGAGAUAUCAGAAUUCAUGUUGCUUUUGUGGAAGUUGUAAAGAAUGUUCAGCUACUUUGUACUGGGCUGUAACUUCUUGUACAAGAGGAAAAGUUCUAGUUCUCAGUGAAAAACAGAUUAAGAUUUUUUCCUCUAAGAGUGACAAAACAAGCAGCAACUCAACUGUAACCCUCAGUUCUUCUUUUUAAUACUCAUUUCAAACUCUUCAGGAUAACAUGAAAGUGCUCCCAACUUUUACAGAAACUAACUACAGCAAACAUCAUUUGUAUGCUCUCUGGGUGAAAGACACACUCAUGUUAUUGCCCGGCUGCAACUUCUAUGAAGAUGCAGUGUCUGGAAAGGAAGUUGAGAAAACAAAGAGGAAAAUAAAUAAUCAUCAUGCCCCCUACCUGUCCCCCAACACCCUGCUGUCCUCUGAAUUCCUCAUUUAAUAAUUAUCUCAAGAAAACAACAAAUCAGAAUCUAGAUCCACAUCAAAGACAGAUAGUUAAUGAACUGGUCAUACUUGUAUUUUCACCAUUUUCAUGGUGGUGCUCAUCUGAACAAGAAAAUUCACUGAGGUUUUCCAAAAUAUACAAGAAAAUGCAAUGAAAGGAACAUCAUUAAAGUGACAGCACCACAAGGAGCAACAAUCAUCUCUGCCAGGUGCAGAGAGACAUACCUUCCCAGAUUUCCAUUUAAUCUCAGUUGAUUUUGAGGAUGGGUCUCCACUUUCAUUGAGGUGAAACUCUUUGGAGAGAACUUUAUUUUCAAAGUAUGGAUUCUCAUCAAAAUACUGCAGGAUUGAAAGCAAAGAGUUAGAACCCACGUGAAUGUAAAGGCAUGGGCCAAGUUAACCCUGGUACUAAAUGGAUAACUGAAGGGAUUCAGUUACAAGUGACAACCCAAUAAGCAAAUGACAUUUAAAGAACCUCAGAGAAAUCACAAAAGAAUGAAUGUAAAGUACUUACAAAAUCUAUUCUGUAACCUGAUUUGAUAUCUUCAAAUUCUGUCACUUCAACUCUGGUCAAAUAAUGCAGUGCUUCCUCAUCUUCUUCUCCCAGCAGUGCAGAUACUAAAGACAGAAUUAGGAAUCCCAUGUUAAAAGAGCUAUGGAAUGCCUACCAUGCAGGUGAAACACAGAAAAUGUGUAACAAGUAACAUUUGAGAAGCAGCACAUCUGCCCAAGAGAGCUUCUUGUGGCCCAUUUUUGAGUUCCCAGCCAACAGCCCAAUAGCAUUUGGGUGAAAACAUUACAUUUGCUGUUGUAGCUUGACGCUGAAAAGCAGCAAAAGCUGCCUGCGUACAUCUACCCUCCUCUCUCACACAUGCAGUUUGUCCAAUCUAAGCAUUCUACACACUUGUUUUGUCCUCUCAAAGUCUAUUGUCAGGAGUCCUAAUGAGCUUACCGCCAAUUAAAUAAAAACCCUAAACCAGAAUCCCAUUUUUUUUUCUUUGAAGGGCCUGGUUGACUAAAACUAGGGGGGAACUUGUUUAAAAUGAGGAAAGAAAGCUAACUUGGGAUUUUAGUGAGCAAAAUGUUCCUUUGGUCAACAAGUGCAAGGAAUAAAAAGCUUAUAAAACACUCUAGGAGAAAAAGGAAGUGUUUGCAUAUGAAGCACGCUUCUGUUUAAACAUACACCCAGCAACAACUCCAGACAACCCUCAGGCCUGCAAGACACACAGCAAGCAAGUAAGCACUGAAUGUACAGAAAACCAAGAUGCAGCCUGUUAGAAAUAUACCUUGUGGGUGGUUGACAAAUGUUGUUACCCAGAAAUUGGGGAUUUUGGCGAUCAAUUCUGACCUCUUCUGGAAGAAUGGUUGGCGGAGUUUGUUGUAUUUCUGUUCUACUUUCAAAAUUUCCUCACUGGCUUGUUCAUUCAGUCUGAAAUGGGAAGAGCCACGUUAACCACACGAGAGAACUGAAAUUUCAAGACACAUCACCAGUAGUUAUCUAAAGACGGAACAAGUUUGCUGAGACUCAUCUGCUGUGUUCAAUAACUGGGCUGUCUGAAGCAUGCUAAAACAAGGCCCAUAACUGCAACCACUAUUAAAAACCACAGCACUAGAAGCAACCUCACUGAUCUGAAUGAAACAUUCUUACCACGUUGUAUGUCAGCAUUACACAAGGGGGGGACUCUUAUUUAUGCAAAGCCAAUCAGCAUUUUACCUUUUGAACAUUCUGUUUGCAAAAGACCCAAAGAUAGAGAACAUACAACACUUGCCACCUGCUCUUUGUACCUUUCAGGCAAGCUGUAGCUUACAGCAAAGCACUUUUGCACCCCGCACAAUUAAAAUCUGACCACAUUUAAUUGGUUUUGUGAAAAGGCAGAAUCCUGAUACUCCCAACAGCCUCCCACAGCCAGAGCCUCAAUAGUCACCUGCAGUCUGCAGGGCAGCCUGCAUGGAGAUGGGACCCAGGCAAAUACCAACACAGAACCCAGAGGGUUCUGCCACAGGAUGAAACUAAUCCUUCAGUGACACUUUCUAUCUAUUAUUCUACAAGCCCAUUAAUAGAUAAUUGUUUAAAGUACACUACCAGCCAACUUUUCAACAAGUUUUUGGUUCUGCUUAAAAAUGUGAGAACACUUUUGCAAACCACCACACACAACCAAUCCAAAAUAAAUCUGUAUCAGCAAAA